UGCUAAAUCAUCCAUUUCAGCCAAAUUAUUUUCUCCACUGGCAUUUUAAGGAUCGCAUGCUUGAGGUGAUGAUAAAUGCUGGACAAAGGAUUAAAAAAGGAGAUGAGGUCUUGUUAUUCAAUGUUCUCUUUUGAAUUUCAAUUUUCUUCAAUUAUUGGAGUGAAUGGUCUUGGUACUAGAGGAAUUCUUCAACAACAAGGGAGGUACAACCCGUGCAGAACCUAGUGGAGUCUUUUAUCAGUAUCCACUCAAUUAAUCCAAAUUUUAGAUGAAUAAUUGAUUUCUAUCUUUUCAGUAUUAUUCAUAUUUCUUUCUUCUCUAUGGAAAUUGGCCAUUGUCAAUAUCAGUCUGUCUCUAUUAUUCUGGACUUUCUUCUCUGCAGAUUUGAAUUUAAAAACUGAUUAUGUGAUGCGCCAUGUAAAAUAUAAUCAAAUGUGUUGAAAUGUCUCUUUGUGGUUAUUGGAGCAUGUUAUGUGAUAAAGUUUGGGUUGAAAAUAUGACUUACACAGAUUUUAGCUUUCUUUGUUUUGUCAUUUCUAUUUACCUGUUAAAGCUUUCAACCAAACUAGAUCCUAAUGAUGCUUUUUAUUUACAUUAUGGUAUAUCCACAAUUCCAUAAAUUUUGACAGAUGACCAUCAAUUAUCUGAGUGGAGAGCAGAAUCUUAUGCUCAUGCAAUGAUAUGGCUUCUCUUCAUCUGUGAAUCCUUGGGAUUUAAUACCAUUCUCCGGCUAUGCACAUAUUCACUUGGACUCUUUCUUGUCAGUCUUCAAUAUAUCUGGUCUUCCUGAAGAGUAUUAUCAUAACAGGCAGUCAUAGCCACCGCAAGAACAUUGCCCACAUGGUCAGAUGGUGAUAUUCCUCCAAUCCCUAACAUGGAAAGGAAAGCUGUGAAGGAUUUACAGGAAGAAUGUCAGCAGAUGCUUGCACUGUUUCCUACAACUUCUGAGCAAGACCAGAAAUUACUAGUUGGCCUGUUCUCUGAUUUGGAAUAGUUGGCCUGUUCUCUGAAAGCUUGCAGAGUCCUAAUUCCUUGAAAAAUAAUGUGUUUAAGUUUUCAUGGUUUAAGCUCUGUUUAAGCUAGCAUUAUGAAAAACUUUUGCUAAUAGUUUGUUACCAUAAGCAUUUUAAGAUCUGUUUUUUAUCUGCUGUUAAAUUUAAUUACUACAA